rnacentral:rRNA from 1 species
AACGAACGCUGGCGGCAUGCCUAACACAUGCAAGUCGAACGAGACCUUCGGGUCUAGUGGCGCACGGGUGCGUAACGCGUGGGAACCUGCCCUUAGGUUCGGAAUAACUCCCCGAAAGGGGUGCUAAUACCGGAUAAUGUCUUCGGACCAAAGAUUUAUCGCCUUUGGAUGGGCCCGCGUUGGAUUAGCUAGUUGGUAGGGUAAAAGCUUACCAAGGCGACGAUCCAUAGCUGGUCUGAGAGGAUGAUCAGCCACACUGGGACUGAGACACGGCCCAGACUCCUACGGGAGGCAGCAGUGGGGAAUAUUGGACAAUGGGCGAAAGCCUGAUCCAGCAAUGCCGCGUGAGUGAUGAAGGCCUUAGGGUUGUAAAGCUCUUUUACCCGGGAUGAUAAUGACAGUACCGGGAGAAUAAGCGCCGGCUAACUCCGUG